CUUACACACUUUAACCACGUCUUCAACUUACAACUCAUUUUAAACCAUGAAAUAUUCCGAAUUUGCACUUGAGUCAAACAGAUGAAAUGUAGAGAAUUUUGUAAGCUUUCCAACGAGUUAAAGAUCACCUCAAAUGGACAUCCGGAGCUCCAGAUAUAGCCAAAACAAGACAGAUAUAUCAUGACCUACGAAAAUAAAACUUUGAACCCAAAAUUAAUUUGGUUCUAUUAUUCCACAAUGAAUUUAUUAUUCUUGUCAGGAGAGAGAAUUUUAGGAUCACAUCAUACUCUCCCUCUUCAAGAGAAUUCGACCUCGAAUUUAUAGCUUGAAUACCUCCUGGGUCAAAAACAAAUCUAUGGAAUCCAUCACAUGUAACUUUAACUUUAGAGAGCUCAUCACUUUUAUUGGAAGAAUAUUUGUUUUCUUUUCAUCCACUUUUGAUUUAUGGACAUGAUCAUCGUUCCAAAUCUCAUAAUUUCCUUCCACCUAUUGAGAAAAAGUUUCUUCAUUCUCUUUGUUUCCUUCAUGACAUAAAGAAAUGUUAGGCAAUUGAAUAAUAUUAGAAGAAGAAUCCCAACAUUUGAAAACACAAACCAAUUUAGAAGAAGGUACUAAUGUAAUAGUAGGCCAAAACUUCUCAACAUUUUUCUCUUCCUUUUCCAUCUCAUUCUCCUUUUCUUCUCCUUUCUCCUCUACUUCUUUUUCAUCACUUUCUUUUGUCUCUUCUCUUUCCUUUUCACAUUCUUCUUUGUGAGUUUCCUUUACAAUGAGACUCUCUUCUUAAUAAUCUCUAGGAUCUUCUAGAAACCGCCCUAAAUACAUAAAUACCCCUAUUACUUGGAGACUAAGCAACCAAAACCCAAGCCCAUAGAAGGCUAUAAAUACCACCCUUGAGAACACUCUCAAGUAUCCAAUAUUCAGUCUAAACCCUAAUAGACGAUUCUUAACCCUAGAAUCCUUAGUGUACUUUUUCUGCAAGUACAGUUGGCGCCGUCUGUGGGAAGAGGUAAAACUAACCUUGACCACGUUUCCGAAUCGCAAAUCAUGAUUCGUAAACCCUUUCUCACUACCUCAUCACCGUGAUGACCGAAUCCUUCAAUCAUGACGUCGUCGAGGUGAUGAAACUUCAAUACCAUAGCCAGAGAUCGAUUGAUUCAUCUUGCCGAUGGAUCACUGCUUCCGCGCCGCCAUGUUGUCCCAACGCCUUCCUUCAAAUCUCUUGUCAUGAUACUGGUCCUCUUGGAAAAACUGUUUAAUCCGGUUUGUAUGGUUUUUUGUUCCCACGAAACCGCAACAAAAGCUCAAAACAAAGACGUGAUGGAAGUUUUUUCCCAAAUUAUUAAAUCUCUCAGCAAUUGUCAGGUUUAAUCUUUCUUUUGUAUAUCACUAGUGUCUGUGCAUACUAGCGAUUGUUUGAUUUUGUAAACCAAUUUCUUGUUUUAUGGCCUUGUUGUAUCGUUAUUCUAAAGUAUAAAAAUAAGAAUAAGAAAUUAUAAAUUCUUAUUAUUCUUCAAAACGUAAUGGUCAAUUUAAUCGAGAUGAUAUAUUUAUAAUUCAACUCAAGUUUCCUCAGAGAGAGCCGCUGUAUUUAGAAUUGAAUAUUAAUUAUGGAUUUUCUUGAGUAUUGAGUGUAUUUUUUAUACCAUAUCUGUCAUCCUCAAUUGAAUUAUCAUGUUAGAUUCAUAUGCACUUCUCUAUUAUUCAAUUGAUAGGCGACAUGAAUAUGUUUGUUUAAAUAAAAAAAAAAAGAAGCACAUGCCAGGUUUCAAAGUUAUGGUUAUCUUGUUUUUUAUACUUCUGGUUUUUAAUAAUUAAAGGAUUCAGAGUAUGGUUUGAGAAAAUAUACUGUUUGAUUUGAAGAGAAUUUAUUGUCGAAUAUAUUUUGAGAAAAUAUACUGUUUGAUUUGAAGAGAAUUUAUUGUCGAAUAUAUUUUGAGAAAAUAUCGGUUUAAUUUGAAGAAAAUUUAUUGUCGAAUAUAUUUUGAGAAAAUAUACUGUUUGAUUUGAAAAAAAUUUAUUGUCGAAUAUAUUUUGAGAAAAUAUACUGUUUGAUUUGAAGAGAAUUUAUUGUCGAAUAUAUUUUGAGAAAAUAUCGGUUUAAAUUGAAGAAAAUUUAUUGUCGAAGGUGAGCUAAAUAAAAGAAGACUAAGAAUAGUUAGUUUCCAUUAAAUAUGAUUGCAUAUGAUUAAAGGACUCGUUUAUUUAUGAUACUGAUUACUUUGGAAGUUUGGAAGAAUUGUUAUAUUUCAGAUAAAUCAAGGUUGGGAUACUAACAAGCCCGCCAAGGGUUAGAUGAAUGAAAGGAGAGAACUCGCCAAUCAACACACCAUAAUUAAACGAGCAUGGAAGCAACAGUCCCGCCAUGAAAAACAUAAAGAUGAAACGCGGAAUGAUAUUCUAAAAAAACUUUUUCGACUUUUAAGAUUUGUUUUGCAGGUUUUUAAUGAAGAAGUAUCGAGUGACCGCCCAAACUGGGUCAACCUUUUUAAGGCUCUGACUCGGCGGCCCGAUAAAGAAGAAGUAUCGAGUGACCGCCCAAACUGGGUCAACCUUUUUAAGGCUCUGACUCGGCGGCCCGAUAAAGAAGAAGUAUCGAGUGACCGCCCAAACUGGGCCAACCUUUUUAAGGCUCUGAUGAGUCAUUUAUUACCUAUUUCUAGAUAUUAUUUAGUUUAGUUUUAAUUAGAUUUUAGUUUAUUUUAUAUUAAUAUUAUUUCCUUUUUAAGAUAGUUUACUACAAAUUGCAUUUUAUUAUAUUUCAGGAAUGAAUAUUGGAUGGAUUGAGUCUUGGAGCAAAAGAAAGGGACUUGGAGCUGAUUCGGUACGAAAAUACAAAGAUUAGAAGACAAAAUAUGUCUCCCCUAAAGUCAGAAGCUUGGCACGGCCCGUGCUAGCAUUGGCACGGCCGUGCCACCCUCGAGAGUGUCUUUUGCUGCUUUUGCUUAGAUUUUAAGCUACUCUAUUUUUAGCCCGAAUGUAAUUGCUUAGAUUUUAAGUCAAAUGUAUGCUAUAAAUAGAGUAGCCAUCCAUCACAAAUAUUCAUCUUUUCUUGGAAUACAAUAUGUGACAAUUGUCUUUCUAAUAAAAGUUCAUUUACUUUCUUGUUAUUUACUUUUAUGCUUUUUCUCUUCUUCUCCUUGUCUACGAUGAACAUUAGUGAGUAGACUUCUCUUGUCUUGGGAUUGUUGGAUAAGUCUAAUGACAUAAUCCUAAUCAAAUCAAGCUUUAAACCUUAAUCUUAUGUAACCCUAAUUUCUAAUCUAAAUUCACCGCUUUAACAUGGAUUAACCAUUAUCAAACUGUGGAAACGAAAGUGGAGGGUUUGAUAAUUGUUCGUCCAUCAUCUCAAAUAUCAAUUCAUAAAACGAAAGUGGAGUUUUGAUAUUCGAACAAGUGAAUUUAGACAAAGAUUGUAAAGGCAGCGAAAUAGUCUUUACAAUCUUUGAGACAUAUAGUUUCAAACUUCAAGGAUUCUAAAUUGUGAUCAAGUCAGCGAAAUAGGCUUGGUUGCAACUUAGGACCAAAAUCUAAUAGUAAUCAAGUCAGCGAAAUAGGCUUGGUUGCUAGAGGAACAAAAGAGAAACUGUCUUUAGAAGUUAGGUCUAACAUAAGGUUAUAAGUUUAAUAGUUUGGUUUGUGAAGAACUUGUCAAUUAGAUGAACCAAUAAUCCCAAGGCUUUUAUCUUUUCUUUUAUUAUUUAUUUUCAAUUAAAAAUCCAAAACUUUCUAUCUUAUAAAACUUUAGUCUAAUCAUUAUCUAAAGUUAAUUGAAUUCAUAACUCCCUGUCGGAACGAUACUCUAAUUUUACUACUUCGAUAGAACCGUGCACUUGCGGUUUUAUCCCAUCAAGUUUUUGGCGCCGCUGCCGGGGAGUUAUUGCAAUUUGAUUAAUUUUUUUUUAACGAUUAGAUUGAAAAAAAAAAAAUUAUUUUUAUUUUUUAUUUCUUUCUUUAUUUCUUUGUUUUUACCGUUAACUUCUUGGGUUCUUAUGCUAAGAUGAAAAACACACAAUAAUAACGAUAUGGCUGAGAAACGUGUUCUCAAAGAGUAUGCAAUCACAUCUUCAGAUGAGCCGUACGAUGCUAUUGUGUACCCAACGGUUGAGGGUAAUAAUUUUGAAAUAAAACCUGCACUUAUUUACCUAGUGCAGCAAAAUCAAUUUUUCGGAUCACCCACUGAGGAUCCGAAUCUUCAUGUUUCAAUUUUUUUAAGACUCAGUGGAACUUUGAAGGCAAACCAAGAGGCCGUAAGGCUGCACCUCUUUCCUUUCUCUUUGAGGGAUGGAGCUAGUGCUUGGUUUCAUUCAUUGAAAAUUGGUUCUAUAAUUUCAUGGGACCAAAUGAGGAAGGCAUUCCUUUCCCAAUUCUUUCCCCAUAGUAAAACUGCUCAAUUAAGGAGUCAAAUCACACAAUUCACUCAAAAAGAUGGUGAAUCUCUUUACAAUGCGUGGGAGCGUUUCAAAGAAAUGCUUAGUCUUUGCCCCCAUCAUGGUUUUGCGAAUUGGCUUAUUAUCCACACUUUUUAUAAUGGUCUUUUGUUUUCCACAAAAAUGAAUGUUGAUGCAGCUGCAGGUGGAGCUUUGAUGAAUAAGACUUACAUAGGAGCCUAUGAUUUGAUCGAGAACAUGGCACACAACCACUAUCAGUGGACAAGUGAGAGAGUUAUCACUGAAGGUACUCCUCCACCCUCUAAAAAAGAGGCAGGUAUGUGCCAGGUUUCUACCCUUGAUCAUCUAUCUGCUAAGGUGGACACACUUCUUCAAAAAUUUGAUAAAUUAACUGUAAGUGUCGUCACACCUGCUCUUGUUUCACCACCUUGUGAAUUUUGUGGAAUACUUGACCAUACUGGUGUUGAAUGCCAGCUAGGUAGUGUUGCUAAAAGUCCCAAGCAAAAAUUUUAUACCUUUGGACAACAAACAACACCACCCGUUUAUGUAAACAACGAAAGAGUCCCUCAGAAAUCCAGCUUGGAAAUUUUGCUAGAAAAAAAUGCUAUGGAGCAAUCCAAGCAAUUUCAAGAACUUAAAAAUCAAACUGGAUUUUUGAAUGACUCUCUUGUCAAGCUUACAUCUAAAGUGGACUCCAUUGCUACUCACACUAGAAUGCUAGAAACUCAAAUCUCUCAAGUAGCCCAAAAAGUAGCUACUUCCUCUUGAGCCCCCAAUGUCUUUCAAAGUCAAACUGAAGCCAACCCCAAAGGCCUUAUAAAUGCUAUUCAACUUAGGGACGGUAAGCAGUUAGAGGACCCCAUUAUGAAAACUAAGACAAUUGAGGGUGAGAUAGAGAGUGAAAAGCAACAAGGUGAGAAAGUCAUAGGAGAGAGUGAUAAGCCAAUCAUUUCACCACCUUAUAAACUCAAAAUUCAUGUCCCACAAAGGCUUGCUAAGCCUAACCUCAUAGUGAUUGAGAGUUUUUCCACCCCUUGUGUGAUUGAGAGUGAAACGAUUGAGAAAGCUAUGUGUGAAUUGGGAGAGAAUCUCAGGUUGAUGCCACUAUCCCUUUGGGAAAGAUUGGGUAUAGGGUAGAGAAACCUCUCGAUUGUCAAGCUAAUGACUUUAAACGAGCGCUUCGUGGGAGGCAACCCACGGGUUUAAUUGCUUUUAUUUUGUUUGUUUUGUGUUGUUUUAAUUUGUUUUGUAGGUAUUUGUCCAAAUAUGAUGCGAAAAAUGAAGAAAAUUGAGCCUUGCAUGUCCAGAAGCUUGGCACGGCCAGUGCCAGUGAUGGCACGGCCGUGCCUGUAACCUAGCCAUACUUCACCAACUUCCAGAGAGUUGGCACGGCCCGUGCCUGUACUGGCACGGCCGUGCCAUGGUCCCAGACCCUCUUUUACCAUUUUUUUCACUUUUCUUCUUCUUCCUUCAUUCUCAAACACAAACUUCCCUCAUCCUUCAACUUCCCUCUCUAAACCUCCAUAACAUCAACAUUUAAACCUCCAUAUCUAUCUCCAUUCAUCAUUCCAAACAUUUACCACCAAUCAAAACCAACAUUCAUCCAUUCAAACACCAAAUUCUACACCAUUUAACCCUAACCCAAAAACCAAAAAAAAAAUUCUUCACCAAUCUCCAUCAUUAAACUCAUCAACCUCACUUAAACCCCAACCCAUCACUAAACCAACCUUUCCAAACCAAAACCUUACCAAACCCUAACCUUCCCUAAAACCCAAACCAAGUUAACUAGGUCAAUGGCAUCAAAAAGGCAAGGAGAUUGAAAGCUCUAGAAGUGGUGCAAAGAAAGAGAAAGCAACAUUCAAGAACCAUGGCAUCAAUUUUAAAGAUGAAAAGCAAAGGAGUAGGUCUAAAGCUCUUAUCUCUCAAUUUAUUUAUGCUUGUCGAUACACUGAUAAUAAUGCUAUGGAUAGACUAGGAAAGAGGUAGGGACUGAUGAGGAAUGAUGAGCUAUUUAUGAGACAUGCUUUAUAACCACCAUGUUAACAUUUGCUAUUACUUGCUUGAUUAUCUUGUUUCAAUUGAUAGAAAGAAAACCGGAUGAUAAGGGUAAUAUAAUGGUAGAUGGAAUCAUCACUUUUAUUGCUAAGAAGUUUGGGGUGAGUGUGAAUCAAGGGAUCAAGAGGAUAGAUGAGAACUAUUAUCUAAACUUUUAUACUCUCACUACUUUGUCAUUCCUUAAAACCCAUGACCCUACUCACAAUUACCAAUAUGAAUGGAGAAUCAUUAGAGCUAAUUGUUUGAUUAUUCUACCUAAUUCGGACAUUACUAAUCCGAAGGUGGUGGAAAAUUUGCUUUAUGUUGGUACUAACCCACAGGUACAAGAUGAUGGUGAUGAUGAUGGUGGUGAUGAAGAGGAGGUAGGUGCACAACACCAUGAACAAAAAGCCGGUGGAAACUAUAAUGAUGAACGGUGGGCAUGGAUGCAAACCAAAGUUCAAAGAACAUGCACCGAACAACAAAGACAAGGUGUUGAAAUGAUCGGGCUAAGAAACGAUGUCCUAAGGGGCAAUCAAAUGAAUGAAUCCAACAAUCCAAUGUUCCGAUACAUGAUGCAACACCUUCACCUCCAAGGUCCACCUUAUGGACUACAAUAAAAUUGUGAGCUCUCCCCUUCCUCUACUCUUCUCUACUUCUCUUCUUUCUUCAUCAUCUUCUUCUUCUUCUUCUUCUUCUUUUUCUUCUUCUUCUUUUAAAUCAUUGAGGACAAUGCUUCUCCUAAGUGUGGGGGGAGCCUAAUAAAGUGUCUUUAGUCGUAGUGUUUCCAAACUCCCUUGAACUUUAUUCUUUUGUUUUGUUUUAUUGUAAAAGGCAUGAAUAAGCAGCUUGUUUUUAAUGUUUUAUUAUGACAUAAAUUUUUUGUUGUCUCUUCAAUGGUCGUUUCUUGUACAUGAAAGUGAUUUCUUGUGUUGUAAGUGUUCUUGCUAUACCCACAUCAAGUUUUAUUGUGAAAAUUCUCCAAUGAGAAAAGCACCUAGUUGCAAUCCUUGAGUAAGUGUAUGAAUAGGUAUUUUAAGGAACACGUUCUAGCUUUAAUGGUAACCUGGACCCUUAAAAAUCUUCAGAGUAAAAGUAGUAUAAGUUUGUGUGGGAAUAAUUCUAAUGUGAUGAAAUGUGUAAACCGAAAUGGGGCAGAAGGAUAUCACCAGCACGUGGAGGAAAGGAUACCCUCUCAUUGACUUCCUAAAUGUGGUGAUGACUUCUCAAACAAAUUGUGCUUAAAUUAAACCCUCUAAAAAGAGGAACUUCCUAAGUGAAGUAAACAAGUUGUAGCACUACUUAGGGUGAUCAUAGAAACUUGGAGGAAAGGAUACCCCCUCACGGACUUCCAGUGUGAAAUGAUAGCCCCUAGGCAUCUACAAGUCCCCAAAUGUAUAAAUUCAUCAAAUCUAUCUUAACUCUCCCACCUCUCUUAUAUGAAAUGAAGAAAAUAUUUUUCUCGGUCAUUUUAGUGUUAAGGUUAGAACCUGUUCCUCAUAAUAUCUAUCUUAUACAGGAGCAAGAAAAAGGUUGGACUACACACACACACUCACUUGAGAUUUGUUGUUGGGUUGAAUACGUUUACAAGGAAUACUUGAAGUUGUGAUUAGUGUACAUUGAAAUGAGACCUCGAGGGAGACAUAAGCUUUUAUUUAAAUUGUCAUAUAUUAAUCCUUUUGCUGCUGCCAUGUCUAUGCCUUUUGCUUGAGGACAAGCAAAGAUUCAAGUGUGGGGGAGUUUGAUGAGUCAUUUAUUACCUAUUUCUAGAUAUUAUUUAGUUUAGUUUUAAUUAGAUUUUAGUAUAUUUUAUAUUAAUAUUAUUUCCUUUUUAAGAUAGUUUACUACAAAUUGCAUUUUAUUAUAUUUCAGGAAUGAAUAUUGGAUGGAUUGAGUCUUGGAGCAAAAGAAAGGGACUUGGAGCUGAUUCGGUACGAAAAUACAAAGAUUAGAAGACAAAAUAUGUAUCCCCUAAAGUCAGAAGCUUGGCACGGCCCGUGCUAGCAUUGGCACGGCCGUGCCACCCUCGAGAGUGUCUUUUGCUGCUUUUGCUUAGAUUUUAAGCUACUCUAUUUUUAGCCCGAAUGUAAUUGCUUAGAUUUUAAGUCAAAUGUAUGCUAUAAAUAGAGUAGCCAUCCAUCACAAAUAUUCAUCUUUUCUUGGAAUACAAUAUGUGACAAUUGUCUUUCUAAUAAAAGUUCAUUUACUUUCUUGUUAUUUACUUUUAUGCUUUCUCUCUUCUUCUCCUUGUCUACGAUGAACAUUAGUGAGUAGAUUUCUCUUGUCUUGGGAUUGUUGGAUAAGUCUAAUGACAUAAUCCUAAUCAAACCAAGCUUUAAACCUUAAUCUUAUGUAACCCUAAUUUCUAAUCUAAAUUCACCGCUUUAACAUGGAUUAACCAUUAUCAAACUGUGGAAACGAAAGUGGAGGGUUUGAUAAUUGUUCGUCCAUCAUCUCAAAUAUCAAUUCAUAAAACGAAAGUGGAGUUUUGAUAUUCGAACAAGUGAAUUUAGACAAAGAUUGUAAAGGCAGCGAAAUAGUCUUUACAAUCUUUGAGACAUAUAGUUUCAAACUUCAAGGAUUCUAAAUUGUGAUCAAGUCAGCGAAAUAGGCUUGGUUGCAACUUAGGACCAAAAUCUAAUAGUAAUCAAGUCAGCGAAAUAGGCUUGGUUGCUAGAGGAACAAAAGAGAAACUGUCUUUAGAAGUUAGGUCUAACAUAAGGUUAUAAGUUUAAUAGUUUGGUUUGUGAAGAACUUGUCAAUUAGAUGAACCAAUAAUCCCAAGGCUUUUAUCUUUUCUUUUAUUAUUUAUUUUCAAUUAAAAAUCCAAAACUUUCUAUCUUAUAAAACUUUAGUCUAAUCAUUAUCUAAAGUUAAUUGAAUUCAUAACUCCCUGUCGGAACGAUACUCUAAUUUUACUACUUCGAUAGAACCGUGUACUUGCGGUUUUAUCCCAUUAGGCUGUGACUCGGCGGCCCGAUAAAGAAGAAGUAUCGAGUGACCGCCCAAACUGGGUCAAACUUUUUAAAGGCUCUGAACUCGGCGGCCCGAUAAAAUGAAGAUUAUCGAGAGACCGCCCAAAUGGGGUCAACCUUUUAUAGGCUCUAAACUCGGCGGCCCGAUAAAAGCUAACAGUCGUAAAGACAAUAAGCGCAUGCCAAAGACCUUUUGAAUAAACAUUCUUGUUCGUAGAACAACGUUUGAAAAUAAUAAAACAAAAUUAGACAGUUUCCAAGAAAUUGUUAUAAAAAUUGAAUGUUCAAAUGACCUCAUAAGCUUUAAAAGCACCACGCCUUGUACCAAGACUUGUGCUUGGAGGCUGUGGACCGUCAUAAUAUUCCUCAAAGUUUAGAGACCCUCGGAAGGGUCUUAAACGCCCUUUGUAAAGACAUAAAAAGGUUCUCCAAAAGGCCUGUUGGGUUUAGGCGCGCUCUUCUAAAAAACGUCGCCCUUCUGGACCCUCAGAACUUGCCUAAAAUCUAUUCUUCAGCUUUAAAGCACCACGCCUUGUACCAAGACUUGUGCUUGGGGGCUGUGGACCGUCAUAAUAUUCCUAAGGACCUAAAAGACCUCCAAAAGGGCUUCUUAGACCCCUCAAGAAGGCCUUAGCACCCUUAAAAAGAGCCCAAGGGCCCUAGGCGCGCAUUAACCAUAGCGCCGCCUUAAUAAUCUCUAGAAUCUUCUAGAAACCGCCCUAAAUACAUAAAUACCCCUAUUACUUGGAGACUAAGCAACCAAAACCCAAGCCCAUAGAAGGCUAUAAAUACCACCCUUGAGAACACUCUCAAGUAU
rnacentral:lncRNA from 1 species